CUGAGACAAGAUGAAAGUGUCCAUUGCGCUGUUAAUGCCAUUGUUCAUAGCCAUAGGGAGGUUAAAGUGUCAAGAAAUGGCGUUACCAUCAAAUACAUCUUUUUAUGAAACAUCUUUUCUACUGAUUCAGGCUCCUGUCAGAUAUUCUCCUUGCGGCUACAAGCAUAAUGGAAAGCCAAUAAAGUGUCCAUCAUAUAUUUAAUUGAAGCAAAAUGUUUUAAAAUAAUUACAAAGAGUUAAAAAUAGAAAAAAAAAAAAUUUAUGAAAAAAAAAUAAUUUUUUGAAGAAAAUUAGAUCAAGAUGUGUGUGCUCUAAAUAUUUCGCCAACGCAAACAAAACAAUAUAGCAAGAA